UCAUAUGUACAUGCCUACAAUGUCAAUGCACUGAAUCCCAUUGGAAUAUGCAAUUAAGCGUGCUUGGGCUAGAGUAGUACUGGGAUGGGUGACCUCCCAGGAAGCGCUAGUGUUUUACAUGCC
rfam:Picea glauca, whole genome shotgun sequence.